rnacentral:rRNA from 1 species
GCCUAACACAUGCAAGUCGAACGAGAAAGUUCCUUCGGGAGCGAUUAAAGUGGCGCACGGGUGAGUAACGCGUAGACAAUCUGCCCUUCAGUCUGGGACAACUUUUCGAAAGGAGAGCUAAUACCGGAUGACAAUGUAACACAUAAGUGUCACAUUUGAAAGCUCCGGCGCUGAAGGAGGGGUCUGCGUCCCAUUAGCUAGUUGGUAAGGUAAAGGCUUACCAAGGCGACGAUGGGUAGCGGGUUUGAGAGGACGAUCCGCCACACUGGAACUGAGACACGGUCCAGACUCCUACGGGAGGCAGCAGUGGGGAAUAUUGCACAAUGGAGGCAACUCUGAUGCAGCAAUGUCGCGUGAGUGAAGAAGGCCCUUGGGUCGUAAAGCUCUUUUAUGGGGGAAGAUGAUGACGGUACCCCAAGAAUAAGCACCGGCUAACUACGUGCCAGCAGCCGCGGUAAUACGUAGGGUGCGAGCGUUGUUCGGAAUUACUGGGCGUAAAGGGCGCGCAGGCGGAAUAGUAAGUCGGAGGUGAAAGCCCGGGGCUCAACCCCGGAGGGUCUUUCGAAACUGCUAAUCUAGAGAGGGUCAGGGGCCAGCAGAAUUCUUGGUGUAGAGGUGAAAUUCGUAGAUAUCAAGAGGAAUACCGGUGGCGAAAGCGGCUGGCUGGGGCCACUCUGACGCUGAGGCGCGAAAGCGUGGGGAGCAAACAGGAUUAGAUACCCUGGUAGUCCACGCCGUAAACGAUGAGCACUGGAUGUCCGGAGGGUUCGACCCUUCUGGGUAUCUCAGCUAACGCAUUAAGUGCUCCGCCUGGGGAGUACGGU